CGGAAGGCCACUGCCAAGAACAGAUUGAACAGUUCCAUCACUUCCACCGCUGCCCUGCAAUGGCUCGAGAGUCUCAACAACGUCGCUCAUCAGAGGUCUUGCCUUUGGGUUUUGGCUCAAGCAGUAGUACGCUAGGCUGCAAGCUUUGUGGGCAGCUCUAACUGAAUACUGUCCCUCCAGCUUUGGGUCAAUGAUUUGGAGAAGCCUCCUCUUGUCAUUGAGCUUGGGAAGGGCCCAGUCAACCAAGCUGUGCUCCCUGCUGGGCCGUGACUUGUCAAUGGACUUGCGCCCAGUCAAGAGUUCAAGGAACAACGUCGCUCAUCAGAGGUCUUGCCUUUGGGUUUUGGCUCAAGCAGUAGUACGCUAGGCUGCAAGCUUUGUGGGCAGCUCUAACUGAAUACUGUCCCUCCAGCUUUGGGUCAAUGAUUUGGAGAAGCCUCCUCUUGUCAUUGAGCUUGGGAAGGGCCCAGUCAACCAAG
rnacentral:lncRNA from 1 species